GGAGAACUGAGGGGGGCUGCUCCUAGUACGAGAGGACCGGAGUGGACGCAUCACUGGUGUUCGGGUUGUCAUGCCAAUGGCACUGCCCGGUAGCUAAAUGCGGAAGAGAUAAGUGCUGAAAGCAUCUAAGCACGAAACUUGCCCCGAGAUGAGUUCUCCCUGAGACUUAGAGUCUCCUGAAGGAACGUUGAAGACGACGACGUUGAUAGGCCGGGUGUGUAAGCGCAGCGAUGCGUUGAGCUAACCGGUACUAAUGAACCGUGAGGCUUAACCUUACAACGCCGAAG
rnacentral:rRNA from 4 species